CCCUUAGAUGUUCUGGGCCGCACACGCGCUACACUGAAGGAGGCAGCGUGUACUCCUGGAUCGAAAGAUUUGGGUAACCCGCGAAUCUCCUUCGUGCUAGGGAUUGAGGUUUGCAAUUAUCCUUCAUGAACGAGGAAUUCCCAGUAAGUGCAAGUCAUAAGCUUGCGCUGACUACGUCCCUGCCCUUUGUACACACCGCCCGUCGCACCUACCGAUUGAAUGGUCCGGUGAAAUCUCGGGACGGCGGCUUGGUCGCUUGCGUCCGACUGCUGAAACUUGAUUAAACCAUAUCAUUUAGAGGAAGGUGAAGUCGUAACA
rnacentral:rRNA from 1 species